GAUCUUAAGUUAAAAAUUUAUUUGAAAAAUUUAUUUAGAAAAAUUUAUGACGCGGAAGCAAGUUCCAAAUAUUUCCCGGAUCAAAAAUCGUCUAAUCGAACCUACUUUUGAAUAGCCCGAAUAUGCGUAAAAGUGUCAAUGAUAUGAUAAUAAUUCACAAAUUGAUUAACAACACUUUAAACAAAAAAUUGAAACCCUACUAUAGUAAAGGUAUAUCUCCAAUGAUAACAACACACAAAAAAACUAGUGAAAACAAUUUGU
rnacentral:lncRNA from 1 species